rnacentral:ribozyme from 14 species
AAAAAAAUCCACAAUCCAAAAAAGGGGGGAGAAGAAGAAGAAGAUGAAACAAAAGAGGGGGGUUAUAUUUCUAAGUUUCAUGUAUGAUAAUAUAAUA